CUAACAACAUUUUUAAUAAGUGCAGCACCUGAUUGCUGCAGCAGCAACAUGGACCCAUUUUUUAUAUUUGAUUUUCAUUAUUUAUGUUAUUGUUGUAGGCUCAUUUUUUAUUUUUAUUAUUCAUUUUUCAUUUCCAAUCGCUCUUCACUUUCUCUCUCUACCCCCGAUCCUUUCUCUCUCUAGCUCGACUUAGGCUCUUCUCUCGUCACUUCUCGCUCGUCGCUCUUCAAUCGAGUGGUUGAUUUACAUUUUAUCUCCAAUGAUCAUCGGUUGUGCUAUUUGAGCAUAUAUUCGGUUGUGCUAUUUGAUUUGGCAGCCAAAUCAACGUCUGAUUCGCCAAAGCAGGCCAUAGAUAAUCGUUCUUAUCUUCAUUUUUGUCAACUCACAGCUUCUCUGAAGAAAGAUGAGAGCUGGAAGUCAUGUUUACGCUUAUGUUGGGAGGGUUUCAGUCACUCUCUUCUUAUAGAUAGAAGCAAAAAGAAAACUACUCCUGUAAGUGAUGAGGAAGAUCCCUAACAAAAGAGCAUUGCUUCCCAAGGUCAAUAAAGUUAAAACGGGCUAAAAAUGGCUUCUUAAGACCUUUUGGAGUCAAACUAAGUUUUUGUGAGAAUCUGGAGCAAAAUGAGGUUGAUCUAGAGUAGAAAGGAGGAUGAUGCUGAAAACUGCCAAGUUGGAUUAAUCGAAGAAAAGUUGGAUCGAUCAAACUCUGAUCGAUCGAACUGUUCGCAGAAGUUAUAAAAAAGCAGAUCUAAAGUUCAUUUCAAACCAACUUGGACUGUGCUUGAAAGAGAAGAUCCUAGGGCUGAGUUCUCACAUUUUUGGGCUCUCAAAGCCUUGUAUAUAUGAGAGAUUGAACCAUUUUGUAGGGAGAUUCAUAUUUUUACAUUGUAAUUUCUAUAUUUUCAUUAGUUUCUCUCUUUAAAAAGUUAGAGAUUAGGGUUAGAAGAAAAGAGAAGAGUGGUGGCACCAAGAACACAUCUCAAGAUGUACACACACUCUCUUUCUAGAAUUCAACAAAGAAGAAGAGGAAAAAGAUGGAGCCAUGUUUGAGGAUUGCCCUUAAGGGUUCCAAGAUCACACCCACCUCCUCCAUGAUUGGCUUGACUUCUCCUUGGGCUUGGAUGAGCCCCAAGUUUGUAAUCUAAACCUCUAUCUCUUUCAUACUUUUUGGGGAAUAAUAUUUUGUAAUUAAUGUUUUAGCCUUGUGAAUAAAAUGAAUCUUGGUAUAUUUCUAUGA